rnacentral:hammerhead_ribozyme from 1 species
AUUAAUUGACGAGUCCCGAAUAGGAUGAAAUGCGCAUCCUGGAU